AUUGAACGCUGGCGGCAGGCUUAACACAUGCAAGUCGAGCGGAGAGAGGUAGCUUGCUACUGAUCUUAGCGGCGGACGGGUGAGUAAUGCUUAGGAAUCUGCCUAUUAGUGGGGGACAACAUUUCGAAAGGAAUGCUAAUACCGCAUACGUCCUACGGGAGAAAGCAGGGGAUCUUCGGACCUUGCGCUAAUAGAUGAGCCUAAGUCGGAUUAGCGAGUUGGUGGGGUAAAGGCCUACCAAGGCGACGAUCUGGAGCGGGUCUGAGAGGAUGAUCCGCCACACUGGGACUGAGACACGGCCCAGGUUCCUACGGGAGGCAGAGGUGGGGGAUAUUGGAAAAUGGGCGCAAGCCUGAUCCAGACAUGCCGCGUGUGUGAAGAAGGCCUUAUGGUUGUAAAGCACUUUAAGCGAGGAGGAGGCUACUUUAGUUAAUACCUAGAGAUAGUGGACGUUACUCGCAGAAUAAGCACCGGCUAACUCUGUGCCAGCCGCCGCAGUAA
rnacentral:rRNA from 1 species